rnacentral:lncRNA from 1 species
AUUUAAAUCACUUUAAUUAUUCCAGGCUUUAUGUUAGGAAGAGUCAGGAAGGUGGAUCAUUAGGUAGGCUGCUCCAAUAUUGCCCUGCUCCGGCGGGGAGGGUUCUCCGGGAGGCGCGGAGCGCCAGGGGCCGAGGCGGCCACUCUCGCAGCCUCCGGCCGCCCCUCAUUCAAAGCUCGGAACGCAGCGCUGCGCCGCCACCUCCCGCGCCGCCAUGUCGGCCUCCUGUCACCCGGGCGACGAGGCCGCC